GAUGAACGCUGGCGGCGUGCCUAAUACAUGCAAGUCGAGCGAACGGACGAGAAGCUUGCUUCUCUGAUGUUAGCGGCGGACGGGUGAGUAACACGUGGAUAACCUACCUAUAAGACUGGGAUAACUUCGGGAAACCGGAGCUAAUACCGCAUAAUAUUUUGAACCGCAUGGUUCAAAAGUGAAAGACGGUCUUGCUGUCACUUAUAGAUGGAUCCGCGCUGCAUUAGCUAGUUGGUAAGGUAACGGCUUACCAAGGCAACGAUGCAUAGCCGACCGGAGAGGGUGAUCGGCCACACGGGAACUGAGACACGGUCCAGACUCCUACGGGAGGCAGCAGUAGGGAAUCUGCCGCAGUAGGCGAAAGCCUUGCGGAGCAGCGCGGCGUGAGUGAUGAAGGUCUUCGGAUAGUAAAACUCUGUUAUUAGGUAAGAACAUAUGUGUAAGUAACUGUGCACAUCUUGACGGUACCUAAUCAGAAAGCCACGGCUAACUACGUG
rnacentral:rRNA from 1 species